AGAAAAGUUCUUUUCGAGAAAGAAAAGUCAAGUUUUGAUAAAUUGACACAAUGGGAAAAAUAUAUUAUGUACUUAAAUUCAGUAGCUAAUCCUUCGUACUUCCAAGUAUAUGUACCUCGUUACUUCCCACCACUGUGUAGUACAGCACUUAAUGACAACAUUUAUAUAGUUGGUUCUUACUUGUGUCAUUUUUGGAGGGUUUCGAGUUCUCAACAAGCGGGACGGCCUUCAGUGGCUUCUUCCAUCCGACCAGCUGAAACUGGGAGUUGGGACUCGGCUCGCACACGUUGUGGCCGCCGAACAAGCACCUCACCAGCAGGCACUGCGCCGGGCCGUCAGCCGGGAAGCCCAGCAGAGCCAUCUGGCAACGGAGAUCAUCGCAGCAUUUCUCCCGGCAGUCCGCCGGGUCGGAGAUAUCCAAGCGUUCCACGAUCGUAGCUCCGGCAUCGAAGGACGGUGCUCCCAAGUCAUUGUCUAAUGGCCUCCAGUCGCAGGAAACAACCAGACCGACGCAGAGAGACCACAAAGCACACCCGAGGGGCGCUCGUUUCAUGUUCAUCUUCUUCUUU